rnacentral:tRNA from 1 species
GCACCCUUAACUCAGUUGGUAGAGUGUCGCCAUGACAUGGCGAAAGUCGUUGGUUCAAGUCCAACAGGGUGCACCA